CUUGUUGAUUUGAAUAUCAAGCGUGGAAAACAAGUGGUGUAAUGCAAAUCCUACCUGGUGAAAAGGAAAAAAAUAAAUUUGAAUUUCUUUAAAAUUCCAUGUAAAGAAACAAUGUCACAAAUGGGAGUCUCGUGUCAAACCUGAAGGUGUUAAUACUUCCUCUGGAAGCUGAAAGCUCCCUGGUUUGUGGGGGUUUUUCUUUGCAUGUAAUAGUUUAUACUUAAGAAUUUACAAUAUUACUUUUAUUAAGUAUUCCCAUCCAGUUCCCAUAGUUGCAGAUGAAAAGCUAGCACCCAUCAUAUCUAUAGCUUUGGGCUUUCUGCUCUGAAAUAGCAGCAUGUUCAGUGCUUUCGUGUACUUGACUUGGAGUCUGCGGAGAGAACUAAUGCAGUCUCUUGUGCCAAGCUGCCUAAAUAACUUGUGAACAGAACUAAGUUAGAUGGUAUUUACCAUACCAUUUCCUGCAAAAUCUGAGAUGCAAUUUCCUUUGAGUUGGUGAGUGUCACAUCUGCAUGAUGCUUGUGGAAUCCCGUUUUGUUUAGACUUAAUCUACCUGCAGAGAUGCUGGGCAGGUAGAGGAUUAUUGCUUCACUUGGCGCACUAAGGCUAUCUGGAGCUUCUGAGUUCAGGAUAGUCAUUGCAAUUUAAUUGUAACAGUAGAGUUUUUCUACAGAAAAAUGGGUUGUCCUCUGAGAGGAGAGAUUGUAUAUACCUUAUCUUGAAAAUAAUAUUAAUUCAUCCAUGUAUAACUAAUAUUUUGGUCCUCAGGAAGUUCAGUUAGUGGGUUGUUUGUAUUUUCCUUUAAAGAAUUUGUUAGUGUUCCAGGGUGAAACCUGAGUAAAACUUCCAAGUUUAUGUAUCUGUUUCAUGUCUGCUAGAAGUUUCUUUUGAUGGGCUUGCAAAUAACUGGUUGAGCUAAGUGGAUGGGUUUUGAGGGGGUUUCACAAUAGGCAGGAGGAGGUAUCCCUCUUCCAUAUAAGUUUUUCAUGGAGGAAGACACCUAUGCCAUGUGCGCUGUGAUGAGACUUUGCCUGAAAAUGCUGAUGGACACCUUACGUGGAUUCCAUGUGUUUCAUCGGGGGAUGAAGGGUGCCUGUGUCUACCAAGGCUUGUUGUUUGAGGUAGGUCAGCUUGAAGAUGAUGUGUUGGGGAAAGUGUUUGACCAAGAAGGUGCUCCUGAACUUUCAAGCUUGAACUUGAGAGCUAGGCUCCUAGUUUUGUCACCUCAGCCACCAGGGCAUGUAAACUUGGAGCAGGGGAUGUUGCUGCAAGCCUUCAGCCCACCAGGAAACAGCAGCAGCAUACUUCCAUUGCCUUCAGGGAGGUCAGCAAUUCUCCCUGGGCCUUUGACUCAACCACUGUCCUGCUUGGUACAACUGUGCCUGCUUCGAAGUGGGGUUCCUUUGUCCAGUGUCCAAAAAGGCAUGUGGAAUUUUAAGAUUCCUGGAAGCCAUGUGAAUCAUGAGUGUGCAGUCCUUGGCUGA
rnacentral:lncRNA from 1 species